rnacentral:rRNA from 1 species
GAGAGGUGCUGCAUGGCUGUCGUCAGCUCGUGUUGUGAAAUGUUGGGUUAAGUCUCGCAACGAGCGCAACCCCUAUCGUCUGUUGCCAGCAUUAAGUUGGGCACUCUGACGAGACUGCCUGGGUUAACCAGGAGGAAGGUGGGGAUGACGUCAAGUCCUCAUGGCCCUUAUGUCUAGGGCUACACACGUAAUACAAUGGCGCGCACAAUGGGAGGCGAACUCGCAAGGGGGAGCAAAUCUCAAAAAGCGCGUCUCAGUUCGGAUUGAAGUCUGCAACUUGACUUCAUGAAGUUGGAAUCGCUAGUA